CCUACGGGUGGCAGCAGUGAGGAAUAUUGGUCAAUGGGCGGAAGCCUGAACCAGCCAAGUAGCGUGCAGGAUGACGGCCCUACGGGUUGUAAACUGCUUUUAUACGGGAAUAACGCGCCUUACGUGUAGCGCUUUGCAUGUAUCGUAUGAAUAAGGACCGGCUAAUUCCGUGCCAGCAGCCGCGGUAAUACGGAAGGUCCGGGCGUUAUCCGGAUUUAUUGGGUUUAAAGGGAGCGUAGGCCGCAUGUCAAGCGUGCGGUGAAAUGUCCGGGCGCAACCCGGGCCUUGCAGCGCGAACUGGGGUUCUUGAGACCGCGGAGAGUAGGCGGAAUUCGUGGUGUAGCGGUGAAAUGGUUAGAGA
rnacentral:rRNA from 1 species